AUACGUAGGGGGCGAGCGUUGUCCGGAAUGAUUGGGCGUAAAGGGCGCGUAGGCGGCCCGGUAAGUCUGGAGUGAAAGUCCUGUUUUUAAGAUGGGAAUUGCUUUGGAUACUGUCGGGCUUGAGUGCAGGAGAGGUAAGUGGAAUUCCCAGUGUAGCGGUGAAAUGCGUAGAGAUUGGGAGGAGCACCAGUGGCGAAGGCGACUUACUGGACUGUAACUGACGCUGAGGCGCGAAAGUGUGGGGAGCAAACAGGAUUAGAUACCCUGGUAGUCCACACUGUAAACGAUGAAUGCUAGGUGUAGGGGGUAUCGACCCCUUCUGUGCCGCAGUCAACACAAUAAGCAUUCCGCCUGGGGAGUACGGCCGCAAGGUUGAAACUCAAAUGAAUUGACGGGG
rnacentral:rRNA from 1 species